ACUCUUUCCAGUACAGUAAAUACAAAAUAAAGGUGGACUUGGGAAUACUAGGAGAGAACCUUGUGGAGUUCAAUAAGCUUGAGAAAUACACAGAGGUCUAUGAAACAGCUGAAAGAACAGGACCUGCAAGGAACUAAAAACACACAAACGUUUUGCUUAAAGGCAAUUGUAAUUUUCAUUUCCUCAUUAUGGACAGAUCAAGGGGACUGCACAAUCCUUUUGAAUGCUGUGCAAGGGACAACGGAAGGUCAGAGUGCAAAGAACAGGGGUCCUCAUACCUCCCUGCAAGCAAAUUCUUCUCAGUUAUCCCAGCCUUACUGUAUCAUGGAACACAUAACCUUCUCCCUUUCAGGAUACAAGCAGCACGACCAAAGCAACAAUUAGCUCCUGUCAUUUUUGAAAUGAGAGUUCAGAAAUAUUUGCAAACUCUUCUUCUGAGCGUGGCUUUUUUUUUUUUUUCUUUUUGGUCUUUUUGUUUGUUGGACUUUCAUUUCUGAGGUUAGAUAUUUCUUAUACUUAUUUAUUGCCUUGAAAGAUAUAUUUGAUUAUGAGAAAUUGAGUGAAACCACCCGAGCAGCAGUUUCAUCACUCUUGGAAGUGCAUCAGGGUUGCUGUCUCAGAGGCUGACUUUAACCUAGCCAAGUAUCUACGGAUGAACGCAGAGCCAGAUUUAUUUGUGCAUGUAUUUAUUUAAGUGCUCUAAUGGUGUUGCUUUGUUUGGGGACAACCAAACCUUGGUUCGUAGAGAAUAGCAACUGCAGACUUAGUGGCUUGCUGCAUACCCUUUACACACACUGCUGACUUGUGGAAAGAGAGCAGAUCGAUUUCCCUCCGAGCUGGCUGGAAGGUGCGGGCAGGAACACGUUCCUACCAGCUCGCUGGCCCCAGCCCGCGUGAGCCCACUUGCACGGCGAGACGCGGAGCAGCGGCCAUUUUGCUGUACGGUCCGGUACUGUGCGGUGCGGCGCGGCUCCCCGGGC
rnacentral:lncRNA from 1 species